rnacentral:lncRNA from 1 species
UUCUCAUCCUAAGAAGCCGAUUGCUGGUUUUCCCUCAGUCCCUCGUGCGUGUGUCUGCGCCGGGAUCGUCUCAGUCUUCUGAGUCGGAGGUGCUUGCUUGCCAGCGCGGUUCUCGCACCCAGACGGGGCCCAGAAGAGAGGCGCUCGGUCGUCGUCGGCGUGGACUCGAAGGUGGCCUGACUCGCCCUCCGGCCCCUCGCUGCCUCCACCUGCUCGCUCGUUCGUUUCUGCAUCUGUGCGCUCGCACGUCUUUUGUCAGACCUUCCCUAGGCCAGGGACUCCACUGCCUUUGAUCCAGAACGCCCCCCUCCAGGCUCCUGUCCCCAGUCCGCAUGAGGAAGACUAGUUUUCACCUUUGCCAA